AUUUAAAUAGCUUAAGUAGAAGAGCAUAGUAUUGAAGAUACUCGGGUAGUUUUUUAACUUUUAAAUA
rnacentral:tRNA from 1 species